UGAGUACGAGCUGCUACGGCAGCGAAGUGGGUGAUGUCAAGCUUCCAAGAAAAGCCCUAUACCCGUUAAGGCAUGAUGGCCUGUACCCGAAACCGACACAGGUGGGGUGGUAGAGAAUACCGAGGGGCGCGAGGUAACUCUCUCUAAGGAACUCGGCAAAAUGGCCCCGUAACUUCGGGAGAAGGGGUGCCACCGCAAGGUGGUCGCAGUGAAGAGGCCCAGGCGACUGUUUACCAAAAACACAGGUCUCCGCUAAGUCGCAAGACGAUGUAUGGGGGCUGACGCCUGCCCAGUGCCGGAAGGUUAAGGAAGCUGGUCAGCGUAAGCGAAGCUAGCGACUGAAGCCCCGGUGAACGGCGGCCGUAACUAUAACGGUCCUAAGGUAGCGAAAUUCCUUGUCGGGGUAAGUUCCGACCCGCACGAAAGGCGUAACGAUCUGGCGCUGUCUCGGAGAGAGGCUCGGCGAAAUAGAAUUGUCUGUGAAGAUGCGGACUACGUGCACCCGGACAGAAAGACCCUAUGAAGCUUUACUGUAGCUUGGUAUUGUGCUCGGGCUCGGAAUGCGCAGGAUAGGUGGGAGGCUAUGAACCAUUGCUUGUGGGUGAUGGUGAGCCACUGGUGAGAUACCACUCUUUCCGAGCUAGAGUUCUAACAGCCACCCGUUAUCCGGGGGCUGGACAGUAUCAGGUGGGCAGUUUGACUGGGGCGGUCGCCUCCUAAAAGGUAACGGAGGCGCGCAAAGGUUUGCUCAGGCUGGUUGGAAAUCAGCCGACGAGUGUAAAAGCAGAAGCAAGCUUGACUGUGAGACCUACAAGUCGAACAGGGAGGAAACUCGGCUUUAGUGAUCCGACGGUUCUGCGUGGAAGGGCCGUCGCUCAACGGAUAAAAGUUACUCUAAGGAUAACAGGCUGAUCUCCCCCAAGAGUUCACAUCGACGGGGAGGUUUGGCACCUCGAUGUCGGCUCAUCGCAACCUGGGGCUGAAGUCGGUCCCAAGGGUUGGGCUGUUCGCCCAUUAAAGCGGUACGCGAGCUGGGUUCAGAAUGUCGUGAGACAGUUCGGUCCAUAUCCGGUGCAUGCGCAGGAAUAUUGAGAGGAUUUCUCCCUAGUACGAGAGGACCGGGAGGAACGCACCUCUGGUGUACCAGUUAUCGUGCCAACGGUAAACGCUGGGUAGCCAUGUGCGGAGAGGAUAACCGCUGAAAGCAUCUAAGUGGGAAGCCCACCUCAAGAUGAGUAUUCCCAUGGGGUAACCCAGUAAGGUCACGGGAAGAACACCCGUUGAUAGGCUCUACGUGGAAGCGCAGUAAUGUGUGAAGCGGAGGAGUACUAAUAGACCGAGGGCUUGA
rnacentral:rRNA from 1 species